rnacentral:rRNA from 1 species
AUUGAACGCUGGCGGCAUGCCUUACACAUGCAAGUCGAACGGCAGCGGACCUUCGGGUGCCGGCGAGUGGCGAACGGGUGAGUAAUAUAUCGGAACGUACCUUUCAGUGGGGGAUAACGUAGCGAAAGUUACGCUAAUACCGCAUAUUCUGUGAGCAGGAAAGCAGGGGGAUCGCAAGACCUUGCGCUGAUUGAGCGGCCGAUAUCAGAUUAGCUAGUUGGUGAGGUAAAGGCUCACCAAGGCGACGAUCUGUAGCGGGUCUGAGAGGAUGAUCCGCCACACUGGAACUGAGACACGGUCCAGACUCCUAGGGAGGCAGCAGUGGGGAAUUUUGGACAAUGGGCGCAAGCCUGAUCCAGCCAUGCCGCGUGAGUGAAGAAGGCCU